AUAGUUUUGAAAAUGCGGAAUCAUCUUCGGAAAUUGAUCGACUGAAUAAUUCAAAAAGGUGAGUGGCCCUCUCAGUCAGAAUUACAAUCUCAGUAAAUAUGCAGAAUCGGAGAGAGAAAGCAAGCUGAACUUUAAUGAUCCAUCAACAGAGCAGUCGAAACUUUCAGAGUGCAUGGAGGGAUUGAAAAAUAUUCACUUCUAUUCUCAUAAUGAUGAUGUUCUCAGUGCAUCUUUGAAACUGGGUCUACAAAAAUGUAUGCAACAAAAGUGUUGCAAAAAUCUUAUUGAAAAAGGUGUUGAAGAGGAGAGCUCAACAUUAAACUUACUGGGAAAUCUAGCUUUUUCUGACACUGGGCUACGCAAACUACCUCUUUCGUCGCUAAAAGGUGCUACUGAUUUCAUUAUUUCCAGUGCAACUGAAAGUCAAGGCAUAGAGAAGAAGAAUAUGCCAACCGAAAAUCGGCAAAGCUAUGCCAAAGAAGGGUUCUCUCACGCUUUAAAGUCGAAUUUCCAACCUUACCGAACUGUGUCAGUUUGUGAUUUGAGUGAUACUAAUUUUAAAGCGUUAAAUGUUGAUAUCAACAACCUCAGCAAGAAUCAAAUUAAUUUAUCCACAAUUUACUAUGAUGAUGCAAAUGAGUCUCAUUUUAGGAAUAGUGCCUCUACUAAUUUGAAAAGUUCAAAUAUUGAUCGUGAAAAAGUUAUCCCUCAAUUGUACAUGGAAGUUUCUCAUGAAACAGUAAAUUUUGGAGUAGAUAAUGACUUAAAAGAUAAAGAAGUAAAAAUCCUCACCAAAUCAAAGUCCUCUGAAGUCGAUUGUGUUUCAUUGCACAAGCAAGAGAGGGGAAAGGCAGAUGAAUUUUCCGACUCUGAAAUAUUUUACGAAAGUUCCUCAGUGAUAAUCGAUGAAAGCGAAUCGGUCGGCAAUAUUUCAGAACAAACUGAGUCCUUAAAUGAACAAUUGGUUUCAACCUCUGAUACUUACAACGUAGAAUUUCAAAAAGAUUUGAUAUUUAUUGCCACUGAAACUUCUACAGAAAUUAAGAAUACUGAAGGUACAGUUUUGGCUGUUGACAGAGAGGACAUAAGCAGCCAUAACGGAACCAAAUUUGGAGUGAAUCAGAUUAGAUCUAAAGCACAUUCUGACUCUGAACCAUCAAACUCUGUCAAUAAUUACAGAAAGAAUUCAGUUUCUGACGAUUCUGGUAAAGAUUAUCAACCAAUUGAGGAAAGUAGUCCAAUAAAAAUGACAAAACCUAAGGAGAAUAUGCGUAGCAAAAAGCUUACCUCUAAUAUCCCCAGACCAAAUUUUUUAAUUCGUAAAGUGGUAGGAAGGUCAGGUGCAACAUCAACCACCGAAUCAAACAGGCUAAAUGUGGAACCCGUUGCAAAAGGUAGUGGGACCAGAAGUAAAGUACCCAACUUUACCAUUAAAUCUAAAAAAAAGUCAAAGCUCUUUUUUCCUAAAGUCGAAAGAAGAUCCUCACCUAAUCCUAUGUCUUCCAAACCUAUGAAAAUUGCGGUAAAGGAGAUUUCAAUGCCCUCGUUAACAAUCACUGAACCAUCCAGCUUCGUUCCAUCGGGUGAAUUCGAAACUGAAACAUCUUUAAAUUUAGACCGAAAAAAAUCUUCCUCUCCAUUCAGUGAUGCACCUAUAAAAGAGAUUCACAAUCCAAACUCUAAAAUAUGUAAGGUAAAACAUUAUGAAACCAAAAAUGUAGAAAUCGAUCCCACUAUCGAUUGCAGAGUUGAAUCCGAUUUGAGGGCACAUGAAACAACUGUCUGUUCUAAGAUUGUGAGCGUGGAGCCUGCUGACGUGGAUUGUGAUGAUGCCAACCCUCAUGCUAUGGCUGCCUUAGAGAAAGAGGCCCCGAUUGCUGUCAGUGUCUCAGUAAAUUCUGAAGAAAAUGCUCUAAACAAGGAAGUAAACUCAUUUAAUUCGAUAAUAAAAAAUGAGGACUGCUCCUGCACCAAUAAUGAAAUAAGUGCUCUUAUGUGUAAGUCCGGUUCAACAGAAACGCAUGCAGGAAUCGAGUCAGUUAAUCUGGAUGAUGGUAUAGUUUUUCCACUUAAAUCAAUGGUGAAAAAUCGAGCGGAGAUUAUUCAACUCUUGGAGGGAAAACUUCCAAACAAUCAGGCUUUGCACGGAUUUAUCCAGACGUUAUUUUUAUCCACAGCAGAGGAAGAUCAAAGCAAAGUAAAGCUUGUCAAGAAACUUUCUGAUGAAACGAGCGGAAAAGGCCUUGAGCUGAACAUUGCAGAUACACGCUUGUCAAAGCAUAAGAUUGAAUCUUUUCCAGCUGCAUCAAGUCAAGACUCGGGAGUGCGUGGAUGUGAUACAAACUCUACAAAAGACACUCAGCACUAUUUAUUCGGCUCUGAUGAAAUAGAUAUCUUCCGGAACGCACGUAGAUUACUGGCUGAAGGGGAAGUUUCAAAUUUUGAGCAAGCAAAAUUGGUUGUCCAUUUGCUGGAACUGAAUUUUGACAAAGAUCUUUGUCUGUCUGCAGCCAAAGAAUGCAGCAACAUAGAAAUGGCUCUUGCAUUUUUACAACAAGAAUGCUUGUUAUGUGCAAGCAUUUAUCCUGCCAACCAAGUAAGAAAACUAUUUUGUUAUCAAUUUGUCAAAUUUCAUCAACAGAUGCAGGUAAUCCCUUUACAAAACUCAACCCAGGAGACGUUAAUUAAAAGAAAUAAUUCGCAUCGGUAA
rnacentral:lncRNA from 1 species